rnacentral:rRNA from 1 species
AGAGUUUGAUCCUGGCUCAGGAUGAACGCUAGCGACAGGCCUAACACAUGCAAGUCGAGGGGCAGCGGGGAGGUAGCAAUACCUUUGUCGGCGACCGGCGCACGGGUGAGUAACACGUAUGCAAUCCACCUGUAACAGGGGGAUAACCCGGAGAAAUCCGGACUAAUACCCCAUAAUAUGGGCGCUCCGCAUGGAGAGCCCAUUAAAGAGAGCAAUUUUGGUUACAGACGAGCAUGCGCUCCAUUAGCCAGUUGGCGGGGUAACGGCCCACCAAAGCGACGAUGGAUAGGGGUUCUGAGAGGAAGGUCCCCCACAUUGGAACUGAGACACGGUCCAAACUCCUACGGGAGGCAGCAGUGAGGAAUAUUGGUCAAUGGUCGGCAGACUGAACCAGCCAAGUCGCGUGAGGGAAGACGGCCCUACGGGUUGUAAACCUCUUUUGUCGGAGAGUAAAGUACGCUACGUGUAGUGUAUUGCAAGUAUCCGAAGAAAAAGCAUCGGCUAACUCCGUGCCAGCAGCCGCGGUAAUACGGAGGAUGCAAGCGUUAUCCGGAUUUAUUGGGUUUAAAGGGUGCGUAGGCGGCACGCCAAGUCAGCGGUGAAAUUUCCGGGCUCAACCCGGAGUGUGCCGUUGAAACUGGCGAGCUAGAGUACACAAGAGGCAGGCGGAAUGCGUGGUGUAGCGGUGAAAUGCAUAGAUAUCACGCAGAACCCCGAUUGCGAAGGCAGCCUGCUAGGGUGAAACAGACGCUGAGGCACGAAAGCGUGGGUAUCGAACAGGAUUAGAUACCCUGGUAGUCCACGCAGUAAACGAUGAAUACUAACUGUUUGCGAUACAAUGUAAGCGGUACAGCGAAAGCGUUAAGUAUUCCACCUGGGGAGUACGCCGGCAACGGUGAAACUCAAAGGAAUUGACGGGGGCCCGCACAAGCGGAGGAACAUGUGGUUUAAUUCGAUGAUACGCGAGGAACCUUA